GGGGGAAUUGUGCACAAUGGGGGAAACCCUGAUGCAGCGACGCCGCGGGAGUUAGAAGGCCUUCGGGUGGGAAAAAUCUUCUCUAUGGGAAGAAAAUGACAGUACCAUAGGAAUAAGGACCGGCAAAUUACGUGCCAGCAGCCGCGGUAAGACGUAAGGUCCGAGCGUUGUCCGGAAUCAUUGGGCGUAAAGGGUACGUAGGCGGGUAAGCAAGUUAGAAGUGAAAUCCUGUAGCUCAACUACAGUAAGCUUUUAAAACUGCUCAUCUUGAGAUAUGGAAGGGAAAGUGGAAUUCCUAGUGUAGCGGUGAAAUGCGCAGAUACUAGGAGGAAUACCGGUGGCGAAGGCGACUUUCUGGCCAUAUACUGACGCUGAGGUACGAAAGCGUGUGUAGCAAACAGG
rnacentral:rRNA from 1 species